rnacentral:miRNA from 1 species
GUCCAGUUUUCCCAAGAAUCCCU